rnacentral:lncRNA from 1 species
CCUAUUGUCCCUCUACUCACAAUUAUUCCAUUGAGAUUGAUAACAGGAUUAAAUUAAGCCACUAUUAGGUAUUCAAAAACUAUCAAUAGCUUUCAGGCAUCGAUACUUGUUGUCUCUAACAGCGGUAAACAAAACUAUAUAGUUUUCUUAAUGAAUGGGUGUAAUUUAAUGUCCAUCAUUUGACAAUUCUACUUGAGUAAUUUCCACCAGUAAUUAUGAACCAUUAGGAGAAUCACACAAACCAUACAUAUUUUCAAUGAAAUAUAGUAUAAAAAAAUUUGUAGCUGCAAAUAUCAAGGCUGACAUG